CGUAGGGCGCGAGCGUUGUCCGGAUUUAUUGGGCGUAAAGAGCUCGUAGGCGGCUUGUCGCGUCGACUGUGAAAUCCCGCGGCUCAACUGCGGGUCUGCAGUCGAUACGGGCAGGCUAGAGUUCGGUAGGGGAGACUGGAAUUCCUGGUGUAGCGGUGAAAUGCGCAGAUAUCAGGAGGAACACCGGUGGCGAAGGCGGGUCUCUGGGCCGAUACUGACGCUGAGGAGCGAAAGCGUGGGGAGCGAACCGGAUUAGAUACCCUGGUAGUCCACGCUGUAAACGUUGGGCGCUAGGUGUGGGGGACCUCUCCGGUUCUCUGUGCCGCAGCUAACGCAUUAAGCGCCCCGCCUGGGGAGUACGGCCGCAAGGCUA
rnacentral:rRNA from 1 species